rnacentral:rRNA from 1 species
UCGGGAGCGAGUAAAGUGGCGGACGGGUGAGUAACGCGUAGGAAUCUACCUUUCAGUGGGGGAUAGCUCGGGGAAACUCGAAUUAAUACCGCAUACACCCUUCGGGGGAAAGGGGGCCUCUCCUUGGAAGCUCUCGCUGUUAGAUGAGCCUGCGUGAGAUUAGCUUGUUGGUAAGGUAAUGGCUUACCAAGGCUACGAUCUCUAGCUGGUCUGAGAGGACGAUCAGCCACACUGGGACUGAGACACGGCCCAGACUCCUACGGGAGGCAGCAGUAGGGAAUAUUGGACAAUGGGGGCAACCCUGAUCCAGGCAUGCCGCGUGUGUGAAGAAGGCCUUAGGGUUGUAAAGCACUUUAAGUGAGGAAGAAAAGAUUUAAAUUAAUACUUUAAGUCCCUGACAUUACUCACAGAAUAAGGACCGGCUAACUCCGUGCCAGCAGCCGCGGUAAUACGGAGGGUCCAAGCGUUAAUCGGAAUUACUGGGCGUAAAGCGCGCGUAGAUGGUUUAUUCAGUUGGGUGUGAAAUCCCUGGGCUCAACCUAGGAACUGCAUUCAAAACUUAUAAACUAGAGUACGAAAGAGGAGAGUAGAAUUCAUGGUGUAGCGGUGAAAUGCGUAGAGAUCAUGAGGAAUACCAGUGGCGAAGGCGACUCUCUGGUUCGAGACUGACAUUGAGGUGCGAAAGCGUGGGUAGCAAACAGGAUUAGAUACCCUGG